rnacentral:lncRNA from 1 species
AUGGAGAGGACAGUGAUCCUGGGACCCAAGACUGGUGCCAACAAUGAUCAAAUCCCCCAGCGUCUGUGGCUGCCCCGCCCUUCGUGGCUCGCUGCUAACGUCCCCCCUGAAGAGGCUCUGGUCACGGACCCAGGGCCCCUCGUGGAGAACAGCCGGCACGUACCCACGCAGACAUGUGGAACUUUACCUGCUAUACUAGUGCAUCUCCCGUGUCCUGCCCGGGAGGCCCCAGGGCCCCGGGCGUCCUCUGUCCUCCGCACGGAGCUCCGACACACGGAUUCCCCUCUUCCGCUCCUGCCGGGUGAGGAACGCUCGGAGCCCAGCCCUGUGCCGGUGUCCCCAUCGGUCUGUCACCUGAAACCUGCAGGUGGCCGUCCGUGCGAGUCCGCUCAGGCGGCCGCAGCAAAGCCCGCAGCCCGGGGGUGUUUCUGCUCGUGCUGGAGGCCCGAGCUCGGCCCCCGCACACGUGGCUUCUGCUGGUUGGCUUCCUGGCUCACGUGGUGUCUGCGCGCGGCGCCCUGGCUGGGGGGCUCCGACUCACGCCUCCCCCGGGCCCCAGCCCCUUGGCUAACCGCUCAACAGGCCGUGGCACAGACCACGCGAUGCCCUCUGACGCGGCUCCCGGCUUCUCAGAGGCCAGUCGGGGUCCGGCCUCUGGGCGCCUCCUGCCCCGGGGUGGGGCGGGGCGCGUGGCGCGGGUCACGGCGGGGCACCAGGACGCUCAGGCGGACGCCGCCCCCGCCCAGCCCCGCACUGGAGGCCUCAGUGCGAGAGGUGUGCGCACCGCCCGAGCAGGAAGAGCCCCUUCUGCGGAGCCGCUCAGCCGUCCGAGCCGCCGUCCGAGGCCGCUGCAGCUUGGCGGCCGACACGCUCACACAUGCGCCGUGUCCCGUGCAAGAACACGAAUGCACCCUGGUACCGGCACCCGCGCACACGCCGAGCCAGGGCGGGCGUGAUCGCCGAGACACCGCCGGCAAGUCCUACGCUCAGUUUUCGAGAAGACUCAGCAGACAAGCGGGGGGAAUAAGCCCGGACCCCUGUCGCUUGUCAGAGUAA